GACGAACGCUGGCGGUGUGCUUAACACAUGCAAGUCGAACGGAAAGGCACUGCUUUUGUGCGGUGACCGAGUGCCGAUCGCGUGAGUAACACGUGUGUAUCCUGCCCUUGUCUUUCGGGUAACUUCAGGAAACUGGGGCUACUAUAGGAUCGCAGCUCCCGCAGCAUGGUGGGGGUUGGAAAGUCUCGGCGGUUGGGGUUGGACGAGCGGCUUACCAGCUUGCUGGUUGGGUAGUGGCUUACCAAGGCAUUGACGGGUAGCCGGCCUGAGAGGGUGACCGGCGACAUGGGGACUGAGGUACGGCCCAGUCGCCUAUGGUAGGCAGCGGUGGCGAAUAUGGCACAGUGGUCGGAAGCCUGAUGCAGAGGCGCCGCGUGCGUGAUGACGGCCUUCUGGUUGUGAACCGCUGUCGCCUGAGACGAAGCGUUAGUGACGGUAAUGAAUAAAGAAGCACCGGCUAACUACGUG
rnacentral:rRNA from 1 species